CUAUGUCUUGUAAAUCCACAGACCGCUGAAACAACAGCUUGGAGUAAAAAAACUCAAAGUUUUCCUAAGAUCUGUUUUUCCUGGAGUAUAAUUAUGUACUGACACCCUCGCCCCCCCAAAACGGAAAGGGAUUGAACUGGACUUAUAUUUUCCCUUUUUAAGUGCUGAAGCCUGCAAUAUAAGGCAGGCGUAACUGGAUAUGAAAUGACCUCUGAACUCAACGCAAUUGUCGGUGGGAGUGUUGCUGGUGGCUUUUUUAUCAUUGUGUUCGUCGCUAUUGGAAUUUAUUUCAUUUGUAGG